rnacentral:misc_RNA from 1 species
UACGCCAACCAUGCUAAAUUGUCUUAUGUACAAACUCUCAUAUUACAGGUUUGUGGAAACUGAUGGUAAAGGUUUUGAUAGAGUAAGGCGAACAGAAAUUGGGAAGAAACAUUUCAAACUUACCCAUUUUGAGGAGGUAUUCACAACUCACCAUUGGAUGGUCCGCAUAUACAAAUUGAAGCCUCCUAAGAACAGAAUCCGAGGAAAGGCCAAAAAGUUAAAAUCGAAAACAAGCACAACUACAAGCACGAAAAGAAGUGGAGCUAAUAAGAGGAAUCCAUGGCAUUAGGUAACUUUUUACAGGUUUAUGUUCUUAGACGACUGUAUUUCAUAUAUAAUUUGUACUCGGGCAUUUGGAGAGGGAUCAUGCUGGCAUAGUUGAUCUUUUUCCUUGUGAGAUGCAAAGGGUCAAAUCAAAGAUUUUGCUUUCUUUUAAAAUGACCUUGUAUUUUCUCUCAACGUUAUGUUGUAACAAACGCUAAUCAUUUUUGGAUUAAUAGCUUUGAAUUUACCGAGCAAUGCAAAAUUAUAUAUGAAA